GUCCCUUUAAUGACAUUAAUUACGCUCAAGUUCUGUUUCUUAACUAAGCAAAGUCAAAAUUUUAUUCUUUAUUAAAAAUGAGCAAAAAAUAGGACAGUAAUUAGGACAGUGCAACGAUAUAGGACGAAAUAGGAGUUCAUUCAGUCGAAGCGAUAAAUUUACCCAUUUUUAAUUUUGGCUGAGAGAAAAAACGUGGGCCGAAAACGUCACAGGAUGUCAGUGGAGGGAUAACUUAAAGGGUAUUAAAUUGCAUUUUAAUUAGGAAAUUACGGUAGAAAAUGUGCAGGUGAAAGAAGAAUGGAUGGAUGGGAAUUGGAAAUGUUAGUACAACAGGGGAAUCUCAGAAACACAAAAGUUUUUUUAGAAAGUUUCCAGACUAUCUUUUGGAGGAAAUCUCAGUGUUUUUUGCGGUGUGAGGCCGCUGACCCAAACGACGCCUUCGCGCUGAAACAGAAAAUUUGUCAUGCGGAAUCUUAAAUAAAGCCAGACUCAAAUUGGUGCUCCUCGAGAGUAAUUCCGAAA
rnacentral:lncRNA from 1 species